rnacentral:rRNA from 1 species
UACGUAGGUGGCAAGCGUUGUCCGGAAUUACUGGGUGUAAAGGGCGUGUAGGCGGGAGACCAAGUCAGAUGUGAAAUUCCGAGGCUUAACCUCGGCGCUGCAUCUGAAACUGGUUUUCUUGAGUGCUGGAGAGGAAAGCGGAAUUCCUAGUGUAGCGGUGAAAUGCGUAGAUAUUAGGAGGAACACCAGUGGCGAAGGCGGCUUUCUGGACAGUAACUGACGCUGAGGCGCGAAAGCGUGGGGAGCAAACAGG